rnacentral:lncRNA from 10 species
CUGGCUCCAGGAGGUCCCUGUUGGGAGAGGACACGGCUUAGCCCAGGGUGUAUGGGUAUCACUGACUCACGAAAGGUUCCUCGAGUGCUCACCACAUGCCUGGCUCUGUUCAGAAUCAGGGGCCAGCAGUGAUAAAACACACAAAAAUCCUGCCCACGGAGCUGCCAUCCUGGGAGAAGGGGACCCGCAUGGAACAAAGUGUGUAGCGUGUGCAGUGGAGAGAACUUCAUGUGGAAAAAUAAAGCAAGAAGCAGCCUGCAACUUGGAGGUGAUAGCUGGAGCUUCAGCAGCUAUUUUGGACCAUGAGGUUACCUUGAGGAUGGAAGCCAUAUGUGAAGAUGAUGCAACAGAAAGAGAGGAAGCUGGAUUCCCACUCUCACUCUGGAGCAACCAUACUAGCCUGAAACUGCUACCUCUGGGCAUCUUUUAUAUGCUGGGAAAAAGAAACUUCUAUGUUGUUAAGCCUCUGUUGCUUAGGGAUUUUCCAUGUGCAGCCAAACAGAUACAACAGCAAAUGGGGAAAGCUUCACAGGGCUUUCAAGGAGACAAGAGGCCACUCAAUAAAGAACAAGACUCCUUUUUAAAAUAUUUUUCAAAGACAGUAAGGAAUCUGUAUUCAAGGGGGGAGGCUACUACGAUGAGGUUUUGUAGUAGG